AGCCACUGAUGAAAAGAUUCUGCCAUAUUACUGUCAAUGAUUAUAACCCUACCGUUCCAUUAUUCUGAGGCU